CAUCCCCAGACCUAUUUUGUAUUUUAUUUAGAGAUAGGGUCUCACUGACUUGCUUAGCGCAUUGCUUUUGCUGAGGCAAGCUUUGAACUCAAAAUCUUCCUGUCUUAGCCUCCAAAGCCAUUGGGAUUACAGGCGUGUGCCACUGCACCUCAGAUUUUAAACUUUAUUUUGUGUCAGGGAUAUUAACUUUCGAUCUCUGAUAAUGACGGAAAUAUUUUCUCUCAGGUUGUAAUUUGUCCUUUGACUUUGGAUGUGAUAGAUUUAUCCCAUUUUCUUCUAGACUGUUUACUUUAAAUCUUUAUUGUUUAGAUUUCUGAUUCAUUUAGAGUUCAUGUUUAUGAAUGAUGUAAGAAAUGAACCUAAUUUUAUCUUUUACCAUGUGCUUACUAAGUUGUCCCACUGUCAUUUAUUGAAAAGAUUUUUUGGGGGGCUGGGGAGAUAGUUUAGUGGUAGAGCACUUAUCUACCUUGCAUGAGGCCCUGGGUUCAAUCUCCAUCAUUACAUAAAAAAUAAACAAC
rnacentral:lncRNA from 1 species